UACGUAGGGGGCAAGCGCUAUCCGGAUUUACUGGGUGUAAAGGGAGCGUAGGUGGCAUGGUAAGCCAGAAGUGAAAACCCGGGGCUCAACCCCGCGGAUUGCUUUUGGAACUAUCAGGCUGGAGUGCUGGAGGGGUAAGCGGAAUUCCUAGUGUAGCGGUGAAAUGCGUAGAUAUUAGGAGGAACACCGGUGGCGAAGGCGGCUUACUGGACAGAAACUGACACUGAGGCUCGAAAGCGUGGGGAGCAAACAGG
rnacentral:rRNA from 1 species